UAAGGAAUAUUGCGCAAUGGGGGAAACCCUGACGCAGCAACGCCGCGUGGAGGAUGACCCUUUUCGGAGCGUAAACUCCUUUUAUCAGGAAAGAAUAAUGACGGUACCUGAUGAAUAAGCACCGGCUAACUCCGUGCCAGCAGCCGCGGCAAUACGGGGGGUGCAAGCGUUACUCGGAAUCACUGGGCGUAAAGGACGCGUAGGCGGAUUAUCAAGUCUUUUGUGAAAUCUAGUGGCUUAACCACUAAACUGCUUAGGAAACUGAUAGUCUAGAGUAGGGGCGAGGUAGAUGGAAUUCUUGGUGUAAGGGUAAAAUCCGUAGAGAUCAAGGAGAAUACCCAUUGCGAAAGCGAUCUGCUGGAGCCUAACUGACGCUGAGGCGUGAAAGCGUGGGUAGCCAACAGG
rnacentral:rRNA from 1 species